rnacentral:rRNA from 1 species
GACGUAGGGCGCGAGCGUUGUCCGGAUUUAUUGGGCGUAAAGAGCUCGUAGGCGGCUUGUCGCGUCGACUGUGAAAACCCGCGGCUCAACCGUGUGGUCUGCAGUCGAUACGGGCAGGCUAGAGUUCGGUAGGGGAGACUGGAACUCCUGGUGUAGCGGUGAAAUGCGUAGAUAUCAAGAGGAACACCUGAGGUGAAGACGGGUUGCUGGGCUGACACUGACGCUGAGGCGCGAAAGCCAGGGGAGCAAACGGG